GAAAAAUGAAGAUAUUCUGACUCUUUCCUAUUAUUACAAUGAAGACUUCAGAUCCAACUCUGAUUUCACUCCAGUU
rnacentral:snoRNA from 1 species